UGUUCUUUUUAGAAGAGUACUAUCCAAAACAUAAAAUGACUCGAAGUUUCCACUUAGAAUAUGCAUACAUCACUUCUGCUCAAAUCCCAUUGGGGCCCAAAGAAGUUCAUCAGUACAUGGAAACGUUCAAGGCCCCUGCAUAGGUUCAAGCCUGAAGGAGUAAUCCGAGGAACUAAUGGGGAGAGGCUUGGACAUGCUGUGAGGAAAAGAUACUGGGAAAAGCUGCAGACAUCUACCGUAGACACAGGACGAAAAGCAGGACGCCAUUUUUAAUCCAGGUCCUUCCUCAGGAAAGGACCUUUGGGCAGCAAGGAAGGAAGGAAGGAAGGAAGGAAAGAAGGAAGAAAGGAAGGAGAAAAAUAAAUUAUCCAAGAACUGAAACUCACCAGAUCACCACAUCCGUUCAACUUAUGGCCCAAGAAAAUAGAAGUCAGAAUCAAAAUCCAGCAUGCAGAACUUGUUGUAAAACAUGGCAGUACAGGCAGUAUAUCUCUCCACAUUGUGUCUGAAUUUGGAGGAGGGAACAUGAGUAAGGCGUGCCUUUCACCUUCUUCCACGAUUAUGAGGACUGCCAGCCACUUGGAACUGCUCUCAAAAAGUACCAGAAGUAACUCAUGAGUAAGUUACUCAACCAGGAAAAGCACAUAGAGAAGCUACUGCUGCUGCCAUUCUGCAUUGGGAAGCUCAUCAAACACAUCAUGGGUAUUAUAGGACUUGCUACAUUGGUCUUUGCUAGCUUCAAUGCCUGGAAUGCAAACUUCGGGUCCCUUGUUAGUAGAAAGAUGCACAGAUGCGGCUCUGUUGACUCAGUUGUUUAAAUACAUAUUGUCAAACAAAAUAUUUGCAGCACUGAUGCCAAGUUCCUCCUGACAUUCACAAUAAUAUUGAAUUUGACUCAACCAAACAAGUGUGACAAUAUGUGGAAUAAAAUUUCAUCUAGGUUUUAU
rnacentral:lncRNA from 1 species